rnacentral:lncRNA from 1 species
UGAACAUCUUGGUUUUACUGUAAGAUGUAAAAAAAGUGUGCAGUAUAGGAAUGAGUGUCCAUAUGUGUAACAAAUUGAAAGCUCAAAAUGUGAAUGUAGCAUAUGUAGCUGAAAUUAAUGGAGACUUUCAAAUGGCUUGGAAAGAACAAGGAUCCUGCCCUGGCUGCUGCAUAAGAAUGAUAUAAGCUAUUUCUACACUUCUAAAUGCAUCCACCCAAGGGAAUGAUUCCUGGCUCCAAAGUGGUGCAGAUUGCAUCCACAUACCCUGUUUAAGGCUGGAUGUCCACAGAACAGCACUUCUUUGCAGCAGAGAGUUCUCUGCACCUCUUCCUGUGGGCAGAGAGCAUGAGUAGAUGGUCUGCACUCAACCUUGCUCUUUGUAACAUGAUGGAACCAAAGAAAUCUCUCUUCUGCCAGACAGUAAGAACCUAGGUUGCUGGGACAACAUGCCAACUGCAAAAAAACCCUUAAAAUAAAGGUGGCUCAUUUCCAAG